AUACGGAGGAUCCGAGCGUUAUCCGGAUUUAUUGGGUUUAAAGGGUGCGCAGGCGGGAUGUUAAGUCGGCGGUGAAAUUUUGCAGCUCAACUGUAAAAGUGCCUUCGAAACUGGUUUUCUUGAGUGUAGAUGAAGUAGGCGGAAUUUGUGGUGUAGCGGUGAAAUGCUUAGAUAUCACAAAGAACUCCGAUUGCGCAGGCAGCUUACUAAACUACAACUGACGCUCAGGCACGAAGGCGUGGGUAUC
rnacentral:rRNA from 1 species